rnacentral:rRNA from 1 species
UAGGGAAUCUUCGGCAAUGGGGGGAACCCUGACCGAGCAACGCCGCGUGAGUGAAGAAGGUUUUCGGAUCGUAAAGCUCUGUUGUUAAGGAAGAACGAGUGUGAGAAUGGAAAGUUCAUACUGUGACGGUACUUAACCAGAAAGGGACGGCUAACUACGUGCCAGCAGCCGCGGUAAUACGUAGGUCCCGAGCGUUGUCCGGAUUUAUUGGGCGUAAAGCGAGCGCAGGCGGUUAGAUAAGUCUGAAGUUAAAGGCAGUGGCUCAACCAUUGUAGGCUUUGGAAACUGUUUAACUUGAGUGCAGAAGGGGAGAGUGGAAUUCCAUGUGUAGCGGUGAAAUGCGUAGAUAUAUGGAGGAACGCCAGUGGCGAAGGCGACUCUCUGGUCUGUAACUGACGCUGAGGCUCGAAAGCGUGGGUAGCAAACAGG